AAAGCUAAGUUUGGGGUAAAAAACCCCAAAAGCUCUCAAAGCCUAAGAAAGUGCAAAAACAAGAGAAAAAAGAAAAAAAUGAUGAAUCGAAAAAAACAAAGGAAAAUAAAAUUUUGACAACUCGAAGAUUCAAAAGAAAGAAGCACGGAAAAGGGAAGUCGGUGAAAAAGAAAUAAGAAAAGAAAACCGAGGAAAUAAA
rnacentral:lncRNA from 1 species